UCCAGUGAUUGAGUGUCCUCAUAUGAUUUUAUCUAUGUACUUGAGCACUUUAUCUUCUUCACACCACCUAGAAUUCCAUCCCUCUUUAUAGUGUGGUGAAAUCUAAACUCAAACUCAAAACAUAAAGCGAGUUUUAGACCACUUGAGCUCGGACGCCUUCAAACUUCAAAUUGAGGGGUACCAUUUCAUCCAAAGCAUCCUUUAUAUCUUUCAAGGGACCAAAAGUUGCAAUAUGACUAGAUGAUCUCACUACUCCCUAAUUUGGAUGUUAUUAACACACCAAAACCACAACAGGGGCAAAUGCACUUUCACUCUUCAUCGUCUUUGUAUCCUUCGAUAGUUCCAUGUACUCCUAUCCCCAAAACAAAAAGUGCAUCCAAAACCAUCUGGCUUAAGCAGAAACUCCACUACAAAAAUUGUGAUCAAACUCAUUUAGGCACACACCAAAACAUAACCAAAACUGCGAAAGGGUCUCUAGCUUAGUGGUUAGAGCACCUGAGUAGCACCAGCAGACCUGGGUUCGACUUCCCGUGGGAGCGAAUUUAAACAUAUCUGCAUUAUCAAAAAAUAAAAAAAUAGGCUAGGGUUUCCUUGCUGACUUCGGUCAAAAAAAAACAUAACCAAAACUAGUCAAUUGCUAACAAGAUGAAGCAACAUUACUAACUUUCUGCUUUGGGCACCUGUAAAAAACAAAUCCGGUCUUCAUUACCAUUCUUGUUUGUUUUCCCCUUAAACCCAAGCACCCUAUGCUGAUCACACUUGGUGCACCGGAUGAGUGACAACUCCGGCCUCUUCCACCACCAUUUUCAUGAUUCGGACAAAUUGGAAGAUGACAAACCUAGCAGAUGAGUUGGGCGGGGACAGACAGUGGGAUGGUGGCAGAUCCUCUCCUCGUCGAUGAGGAUGGCGACCUCAACAAUGACAGAAUGAGAGAACUAACGACUAGGAUGGAGGCAAGCAUCAGGAUAGCGACAGAUCCUCUCCUCGAUGACAGUGAGAGUGAGGGCGAGGAUGAUGACAAUGAAGGAGAAAAGCGAUAUAGUAGAUGAGAGUUUUGGGGAUUGAGCGAUUAGGGAUUCGAGUGGGCCUACACUACAAGAGAAACCCCUCUUUUGCAAUGGAUAGGUGACAACGCUGAAUUUAUUAGUUGCAAGGAGUACGUUGACAACGUUUAUUAAACCGUUGGAAGCGUAUCUGUAUUCUUGUGAGCAGCC
rnacentral:lncRNA from 1 species